rnacentral:ncRNA from 10 species
AUUCAACAUCAGGAGCGGUUUCAAAACUGUAACCCGCCAACCGACCCAAAUGGGCACGGUGGUUAGAUCCUUAAGCGGUAGAUGUGCCUUUGAUUAGGAAAUCUUAAAAGCUGC